GAACUGCGAUAAGUAAUGUAAAUUGCAGAAUUUAGUAAAUUAUCAAGUCUUUGAACGCAUAUUGCGCCCCCUGGUAUUCCAGGGGGCAUGCCUGUCCAAGCAUUAUUACUGCCCUUCAAGCCCGGCUUGUGUGUUGGGUCGUCGUCCCCCUGUGGGACGGGCCCGAAAGGCAGCAGCGGCACCGUGUCCGGUCCUCAAGCGUAUGGGGCUUCGUCACCUGCUCGAUCAGGGCCGGCCAGGUGCCUGCUGGUGUUCUACCAACCUUAUUUCUCCAGGUUGACCUCGGAUCAGGUAGGGAUACCCGCUGAACUUAA
rnacentral:misc_RNA from 1 species